rnacentral:misc_RNA from 1 species
GAUGAAGAACGCAGCGAAAUGCGAUACGUAGUGUGAAUUGCAGAAUUCAGUGAAUCUUCGAGUCUUUGAACGCACAUUGCGCCCCCUGGUAUUCCGGGGGGCAUGCCUGUCCGAGCGUCAUUGCUGCCCUCAAGCACGGCUUGUGUGUUGGGCCUCCGUCCUCCUCCCGGGGGACGGGCCCGAAAGGCAGCGGCGGCACCGCGUCCGGUCCUCGAGCGUAUGGGGCUUCGUCACCCGCUCUUGUAGGCCCGGCCGGCGCUUGCCGACACAUCAAUCUUUUUUCCAGGUUGACCUCGGAUCAGGUAGGGAUACCCGCUGAACUUAAGCAUAUCAAUAAGCGGAGGA